AUCCAGGGAUGGGAAUCGAACCCACAGUGUUCUGCUUACUGGGCAGAUGCCAUGUCCACUAGGCUACCCUGGA